ensembl:snoRNA
AGCUAGUGAGGACUUUUGUCUUUGUGCCACAUGUCUGGACCACUGAUAAUUAGAUCAUUAAGAGUU